AUUCGUCAUCCAAGACCCACAGCGUCCACAGAAUAGGAAUUAAAUAACAAAAAAAUUAAAACAUUAAUCUACUGCAUGCAAGCCGCGUGGUAUAGGAAAUACACCCGUGGCAAUUAAUAGUUCAAAGGAAUAAUGAAGAGUUUAUCUGAUACCCUGAGUAAAUGGGGUUUCAAGGAAAAGUAAAUAAAAAGUAGGCUUCGAAGAUGUUGCGCAACUUGCAGACGAGAGCCUGUUGACUGUGAAUCAGACCUUCAGUCUUAUUGCACGGAAAGUUUCUUCAGAAAGCCUUAAAUUAGCAGUACAACAGAAACCAGAAAUUGGGUGUGCAAAUUUUUUUUCCCAAGCUAUCAUCAGAAAGCCUUAAUUUUCCAGUAUUACAGAACCAGAAAUUGGUUCAAUGGCAUGGGAAGGCAACAAAAUAGCAAAGCAAAGGGCAAAGUAAUAAGAGAGGAGCGCAGAGACUUUACAAGUGCAACAGCAACAACAGAGAUUCCAGAAACCCUAGUUUUGGGCUCUGAACAAGACUGGUGCUCCUCCCCAUCCAUGCCCCUGAUGACCUGAACGUUUCUGGUGGCGGUGUCAUUAGCACAUUGUUGUAAGUUGUCUCAUGUAGGUUGUAUGUUGUUGGGAGAUUGUUCCUAUAUGAUAAGGUUGGUUGUUUCAUUUAUUGGCUUAUAUAAUAAGCCAUUACACAAUGUAAUAUUCAUUCGUUCAGGAAUAUAAUGAUAAUAUGGUAUCAGUGCCAUAUCGAUAGAUCUGUGAAUUAUUCUAGUGCUGGAGCAACAAUAAUCAUUAUAUUCCCUCUGUAGAAUAGGAGGUAACUAAGUGCCUGGCAGUGGUAGGAAGGACUUGGAGCUGAGUGAACUGGGUGCUGGAAAAGGUGUUGGAUCUGUAGAAUUGUCAAAGACUUUGCUGUAUUUCCCUAUACAUUAUCUUGGAAGGGUGUAAGAAUAGAGGACUGCUAUUUGGACUGCAGUAAAGGUGUGCGACAGUAGUGAGGCAAUCAUUUUUUUGACAUUAGUCUUGUUCGACAUUAUAGUUCACAGCUUCAAACCGUCCAAAAUAAUAUUAGAGGUGUGGGAGAUCAGCUUGCAUUUUGUGAGAUCAAGAUUUGUUGAGAUCGGCAAGGCAUGAGGGUGAUAGAGAGGAGUCAUGGGAAGUUCCUUUGUGGACAAGAGUAAUUAUUUAGUUUAAUAUGAAUUUUUAAAAGUUUAUAAAGAUUUAGG